rnacentral:rRNA from 1 species
GAAUAUUGGACAAUGGAGGCAACUCUGAUCCAGCCAUCCCGCGUGCCGGAUGAAGGCCCUAUGGGUUGUAAACGGCUUUUGUGAGGGAAGAACUAGGUUCAUGUAUGAGCCUUUGACGGUACCUCGUGAAUAAGCACCGGCUCACUCCGUGCCAGCAGCCGCGGUAAUACGGAGGGUGCAAGCGGUAUACGGAAGUACUGGGUUUAAAGGGUGCGUAGGCGGCCUGGUAAGUCAGGGGUGAAAGGUCACGGCUCAACCGUGGAAUUGCCUUUGAUACUGCGGGGCUUGAAUCAGGCUGAGGUCAGCGGAAUGUGGCAUGUAGCGGUGAAAUGCAUAGAUAUGCCAUAGAACACCGAUUGCGAAGGCAGCUGGCUAGACCUUGAUUGACGCUGAGGCACGAAAGCGUGGGGAGCGAACAGG